GAUGAAGAACGUAGCGAAAUGCGUUAAGUAGUGUGAAUUGCAGAAUUCAGUGAAUCAUCGAAUCUUUGAACGCACAUUGCGCCCUUUGGUAUUCCAAAGGGCAUGCCUGUUCGAGCGUCAUUUGUACCCUCAAGCUUUGCUUGGUGUUGGGCGUCUUGUCUCUAGCUUUGCUGGAGACUCGCCUUAAAGUAAUUGGCAGCCGGCCUACUGGUUUCGGAGCGCAGCACAAGUCGCACUCUCUAUCAGCAAAGGUCUAGCAUCCAUUAAGCCUUUUUUUCAACUUUUGACCUCGGAUCAGGUAGGGAUACCCGCUGAACUUAAGCAUAUCAAUAAGCGGAGGA
rnacentral:misc_RNA from 1 species